rnacentral:tRNA from 1 species
GCGACCGUAGUUCAGCGGUAGAAUGCGAGCUUCCCAAGCUUGAGGAGAGGGUUCGACUCCCUUCGGUCGCU